rnacentral:lncRNA from 1 species
AACCGGUUACCACUGAAAGUGAUUUAAUUCUAGAAUAAAUCAGUUUCAGGUGUAACCGGUUAUCCACUUUCGCGUAACAGUUUACGAGCCCGAGUUUUUGUUUUCUCUACUAUUGUACUUGGUCAAAGUGUAUUUCAAUCAUUGUGUAAUCUCUAUAUAAGUGUGUAGGGUGCACUCUCACCCUAUCUAAUGAAAUUUUGUCAUUCUCAC